GACGAACCGUACGAACGUUAUUCGGAAUCACUGGGCUUAAAGGGUGCGUAGGCGGCGCAGAAAGUAGGGUGUGAAAGCCCUCGGCUUAACCGAGGAAUUGCGCUCUAAACUACUGUGCUUGAGGAACCUAGAGGUGAGCAGAACAGAUGGUGGAGCGGUGAAAUGCGUUGAUAUCAUCUGGAAUACCGGAGGCGAAGGCGGCUCACUGGGGGUUUUCUGACGCUGAGGAACGAAAGCCAGGGUAGCGAACGGG
rnacentral:rRNA from 1 species